rnacentral:rRNA from 1 species
UACAGAGGUGUCAAACGUUGUCCGGAAUUACUGGGCGUAAAGGGCGCGUAGGCGGCCUUAUAAGUCAGAUGUGAAAGCUCUGGGCUCAACCCAGGAAUUGCAUCUGAUACUGUAAGGCUUGAGUUCGGUAGAGGAGGGCGGAAUUCCAGGUGUAGCGGUGAAAUGCGUAGAUAUCUGGAGGAACACCGGUGGCGAAGGCGGCAUCCGGGACCGACACUGACGCUGAUGAGCGAAAGCCAGGGGAGCAAACGGG